AUUGAACGCUGGCGGAAGGCCUUACACAUGCAAGUCGAACGAGUGGCGGACGGGUGAGUAAUGUCUGGGAAACUGCCCGAUGGCGGGGGAUAACUACUUGAAACGGUAGCUAAUACCGCAUACCAUCAGAUGUGCCCAGAGGGGAUUAGCUAGUUGGUGGGGUAACGGCUCACCAAGGCAACGAUCCCUAGCUGGUCUGAGAGGAUGACCAGCCACACUGGAACUGAGACACGGUCCAGACUCCUACGGGAGGCAGCAGUGGGGAAUAUUGCACAAUGGGCGAAACCCUGAUGCAGCCAUGCCGCGUGUAGGAAGAAGGCCUUCGGGUUGUAAAGUACUUUCAGCGGGGAGGCGUUACCCGCAGAAGAAGCACCGGCUAACUACGUGCCAGCAGCCGCGGUAAUAC
rnacentral:rRNA from 1 species